rnacentral:rRNA from 1 species
UGCAGUCGAGCGGAUGAAGGGAGCUUGCUCCUGGAUUCAGCGGCGGACGGGUGAGUAAUGCCUAGGAAUCUGCCUGGUAGUGGGGGAUAACGUCCGGAAACGGGCGCUAAUACCGCAUACGUCCUGAGGGAGAAAGUGGGGGAUCUUCGGACCUCACGCUAUCAGAUGAGCCUAGGUCGGAUUAGCUAGUUGGUGGGGUAAAGGCCUACCAAGGCGACGAUCCGUAACUGGUCUGAGAGGAUGAUCAGUCACACUGGAACUGAGACACGGUCCAGACUCCUACGGGAGGCAGCAGUGGGGAAUAUUGGACAAUGGGCGAAAGCCUGAUCCAGCCAUGCCGCGUGUGUGAAGAAGGUCUUCGGAUUGUAAAGCACUUUAAGUUGGGAGGAAGGGCAGUAAGUUAAUACCUUGCUGUUUUGACGUUACCAACAGAAUAAGCACCGGCUAACUUCGUGCCAGCAGCCGCGGUAAUACGAAGGGUGCAAGCGUUAAUCGGAUAAACUGGGCGUAAAGCGCGCGUAGGUGGUUCAGCAAGUUGGAUGUGAAAUCCCCGGGCUCAACCUGGGAACUGCAUCCAAAACUACUGAGCUAGAGUACGGUAGAGGGUGGUGGAAUUUCCUGUGUAGCG